CGUUGGUGAACCGCGGAGGGAUCAUUACCGAGUUUACAACUCCCAAACCCCUGUGAACAUACCUUAUGUUGCCUCGGCGGAUCAGCCCGCGCCCCGUAAAAAGGGACGGCCCGCCGCAGGAACCCUAAACUCUGUUUUUAGUGGAACUUCUGAGUAUAAAAAACAAAUAAAUCAAAACUUUCAACAACGGAUCUCUUGGUUCUGGCAUCGAUGAAGAACGCAGCAAAAUGCGAUAAGUAAUGUGAAUUGCAGAAUUCAGUGAAUCAUCGAAUCUUUGAACGCACAUUGCGCCCGCCAGUAUUCUGGCGGGCAUGCCUGUUCGAGCGUCAUUUCAACCCUCAAGCCCAGCUUGGUGUUGGGAGCUGCAGUCCUGCUGCACUCCCCAAAUACAUUGGCGGUCACGUCGAGCUUCCAUAGCGUAGUAAUUUACAUAUCGUUACUGGUAAUCGUCGCGGCCACGCCGUUAAACCCCAACUUCUGAAUGUUGACCUCGGAUCAGGUAGGAAUACCCGCUGAACUUAAGCAUAUCAAUAAG
rnacentral:rRNA from 1 species